rnacentral:tRNA from 1 species
AAUGAUAUGCCUGAUAAAAGGAUUAUUUUGAUAGAAUAAAGCAUGCAUUUUAAAUAAAUGCUUUCAUUA